ACGAGGUAGCAAUACUUAGUGGCAGACGGGUGAGUAACAUGUAGGUAUCUGCCCUUUGGCCUGGAAUAACACGAGGAAACUUGUGCUAAUACCGGAUAAGUCUUUACGGAGAAAGCUUUAUGCACCAUUGGAUGAGCCUGCACUUGAUUAGUUUGUUGGUGGGGUAAUGGCCUACCAAGACAACGAUCAAUAGCUGAUUUGAGAGGAUGAUCAGCCACAUUGGAACUGAGACACGGUCCAAACUCAUACGGGAGGCAGCAGUAGGGAAUCUUGCACAAUGGAGGAAACUCUGAUGCAGCGAUGCCGCGUGAGUGAAGAAGGCCUUUGGGUUGUAAAGCUCUUUCGUCGGGGAAGAAAAUGACUGUACCCGAAUAAGAAGGUCCGGCUAACUUCGUGCCAGCAGCCGCGGUAAUACGAAGGGACCUAGCGUAGCUCGGAAUUACUGGGCUUAAAGAGUUCGUAGGUGGUUAAAAAAGUUGGUGGUGAAAUCCCAGAGCUUAACUCUGGAACUGCCAUCAAAACUUUUUAGCUAGAGUAUGGUAGAGGAAAGCAGAAUUUCUAGUGUAGAGGUGAAAUUCGUAGAUAUUAGAAAGAAUACCGAUUGCGAAGGCAGCUUUCUGGAUCAUUACUGACACUGAGGAACGAAAGCAUGGGUAGCGAAGAGGAUUAGAUACCCUCGUAGUCCAUGCCGUAAACGAUGUGUGUUAGACGUUGGAAAUUUAUUUUCAGUGUCGCAGCGAAAGCAAUAAACACACCGCCUGGGGGAGUACGACCGCAAGG
rnacentral:rRNA from 1 species